rnacentral:rRNA from 1 species
GACGAUAUGCUUUGGGGAGCUGUAAGUAAGCUUUGAUCCAGAGAUUUCCGAAUGGGGAAACCCAGCAUGAGUUAUGUCAUGUUAUCGAUAUGUGAAUACAUAGCAUAUCAGAAGGCACACCCGGAGAACUGAAACAUCUUAGUACCCGGAGGAAGAGAAAGAAAAUUCGAUUCCCUUAGUAGCGGCGAGCGAAACGGGAAGAGCCCAAACCAACAAGCUUGCUUGUUGGGGUUGUAGGACACUCUAUACGGAGUUACAAAGGACGACAUUAGACGAAUCAUCUGGAAAGAUGAAUCAAAGAAGGUAAUAAUCCUGUAGUCGAAAAUGUUGUCUCUCUUGAGUGGAUCCUGAGUACGACGGAGCACGUGAAAUUCCGUCGGAAUCUGGGAGGACCAUCUCCUAAGGCUAAAUACUCUCUAGUGACCGAUAGUGAACCAGUACCGUGAGGGAAAGGUGAAAAGCACCCCGGAAGGGGAGUGAAAUAGAACCUGAAACCGUGUGCUUACAAGUAGUCAGAGCCCGUUAAUGGGUGAUGGCGUGCCUUUUGUAGAAUGAACCGGCGAGUUACGAUUUGAUGCAAGGUUAAGCAGUAAAUGUGGAGCCGUAGCGAAAGCGAGUCUGAAUAGGGCGUUUAGUAUUUGGUCGUAGACCCGAAACCAGGUGAUCUACCCUUGGUCAGGUUGAAGUUCAGGUAACACUGAAUGGAGGACCGAACCGACUUACGUUGAAAAGUGAGCGGAUGAACUGAGGGUAGCGGAGAAAUUCCAAUCGAACCUGGAGAUAGCUGGUUCUCUCCGAAAUAGCUUUAGGGCUAGCCUCAAGUGAUGAUUAUUGGAGGUAGAGCACUGUUUGGACGAGGGGCCCCUCUCGGGUUACCGAAUUCAGACAAACUCCGAAUGCCAAUUAAUUUAACUUGGGAGUCAGAACAUGGGUGAUAAGGUCCGUGUUCGAAAGGGAAACAGCCCAGACCACCAGCUAAGGUCCCAAAAUAUAUGUUAAGUGGAAAAGGAUGUGGCGUUGCCCAGACAACUAGGAUGUUGGCUUAGAAGCAGCCAUCAUUUAAAGAGUGCGUAAUAGCUCACUAGUCGAGUGACACUGCGCCGAAAAUGUACCGGGGCUAAACAUAUUACCGAAGCUGUGGAUUGUCCUUUGGACA